UUACAUAAAAAAAGAUGAUCUCAAACAAAACUCCAUUUACAUAUAACAACACACAAAUUUCAUCAUUCAAUAAUAUACCGUUUUGAACAAGUAAAGCAAAUAUACAGAGAAUGAGAAAAUAUAUUUUUCGGUGAAAAUAGAGGCGGUGCGUGGUGGUGUGCAGAUGUAGCAGGUUCUCUUGUCUAUUUUAUUCGUCUGUGCCUUGAAUAUGUUUAAGGUUAUGGGUUGAUGGGAAGAAAUAGGAUAGUGGAUCUUUCUUCUUCUCUGUGUUUUUUUUUUUUUUUUGUGGUAAUACUUUAUUUCUAUUGUUUAUAUUAGAAACAGGAAACAAAGAAAAAAUCUCCCAAUUUUAUCUUUCGAUUUUUCUUUUCCGAUCAAAUCAAUCCCUCCUCCCAUUGAAUUUUGUUUGCUUCAAUAUAUAAGCUAAAACGAGGAAUGAUUGUGUUCAUUGUAUAAACUUAAGUUCUUGAUCAUACACCAAUACACCGGGUUUGCAACAAGAUCAAACAAACUCAUACAAUUAAGA
rnacentral:lncRNA from 1 species